rnacentral:rRNA from 1 species
GUAGCGCGGUGGUCCCACCUGACCCCAUGCCGAACUCAGAAGUGAAACGCCGUAGCGCCGAUGGUAGUGUGGGGUCUCCCCAUGCGAGAGUAGGGAACUACCAGGC